UUUCCUGAGGGGAGAGAGAGGGAGCGCGCGCGGCGGCUCUUUUCUUUCGGGGGCUGCUUCCGGGGCGUGGUGCGCGCGUCGCCCGCCCGCUGCACGCCCGCCCAGUCCCCGGUGCGCGCCCGCUGCGCUCGAAGAUCCGUCGCUUCCGAGUAUAGCUCUACGUGGCGUGGGAGUGGCGCCAGAAUUCAAACUAACAGCCGCAGUUGGAGGCGAGUCUACCGCCUGCCCCGGGCCAAAUGCGCCCUGAACAGAUUGGCCGGUUUGGGGCCGGGAGUGGGCUUGAGUUUUGUAGCGCAGGACGGCCUCAGCAUUUGAGCAUCUCGAAAAGUCGGGCUGACUUGGCGCGGCGGGAGUUGACGCCCAGCGGGCGCCGCAGGAGCUGGCGGGCACUGGUCUCCGCACUCACAGAAAGAUAAAUUGGCGUGCAGAAGUGCUUAGGUGAAAAAAGUAUGUGAAAGCACUGCCUUUCUCCUGCGGUGCAUGGCGAGAAUACCGCGCCUCCGCGGGACAGCCGGCCCGCCGCGCCGCGCGCGGCCCAGUUGCGCCCCAGUGCGGGCGUCCGCGCCCUACCCGCCCCACCCCAUCCCUGUUCUUCAUUGUGCCAGGCGCUGCUGUUGCGUUACGUGGUCUGCGCUUAGAGUUCUCCCCGACGCAGCCAACCCGAGAGUUUCCGGUUUUUCACUAUUUCAAAUUGUGCUGAAGUGAAUUACAGAUAUAUUAUAGGGAUCUUGUUGGAAGAUCUGCAAGAUCAAUUUCUAAAGCAUGUGCAUCAUAAGGCACCACACCAGCCCUACUGCAAUAUCUGUUUCUGGUGGGAAGGGAAGAGUGUUCUUCACCUGCUACAUAAGAGGAUUGAGUAGAGACUAUCUCCCUGUGCCAACUUUGGGGCAAGAUGCGCUGGCCAUGAUGGACUGAUACUCAGUAUUGAAGCUGAUCUUGCUCUAUCUCUGUGAAUAAAGUAUUAUUCCAUCCAGUGCCUGUGUGAGUCUUGUCUUUCUUGGCAGUGCCAAUACCUGAAAACUCUUGCAGUAGGUUGACAUCUUGCCACUGCUUUUCCUGGUGUUUGGUAACAGGUGUCAAUUGCUCACAGUUUAGUGCAGUGAGCAAGGUCACCAACCAUGUUAGUACAUGAUGCAGAUGCAUGGCGUUCCUCAGUCCAGCCAUCCUAGAGUGAUGUCAGCUUCCUGGGGGGAGGAGGGCCUGACUGAGAUACUGUGCUGUC